CGAGUCCUGAUGUGUACGUUUGUACCAUCUAUCUGUUUUGACCGAACAAUUAUAACGUUGGGAUUCCGAAGUUUCAUUACGGCGUACAUGCCUUUUCCCGAGGACGUACAAACUAGUGAUCAGGAAACCCACCUGCCGAGUGCGGGUUCAAAACGUUAGAUCUUUAUGACGACGGCAUGAUUGGGACUCGU
rnacentral:other from 1 species